UACGUAGGGACCGAGCGUUGUCCGGAAUCAUUGGGCGUAAAGAGCGUGUAGGCGGCCCCUUAAGUCCUGCGUGAAAUCCUGCGGCUCAACCGCAGACGGUCGUGGGAAACUGGAGGGCUAGAGUGCGGGAGAGGAGAGUGGAAUUCCCGGUGUAGCGGUGAAAUGCGCAGAUAUCGGGAAGAACACCCGUGGCGAAGGCGGCUCUCUGGAACGCAACUGACGCUGAGGUGCGAAAGCGUGGGGAGCAAACAGG
rnacentral:rRNA from 1 species